UGGCUCAGAUGGUAAAGCGCCUGCCUACAAUGCAGGAGACCCUGGUUCGAUCCCUGG
rfam:Ovis aries breed Texel chromosome 6, whole genome shotgun sequence.